CCUGAGGUCGCUGGGAAGAAGCAACACAUUUCCCUGUCCAGUGGCAACUACCUCCUCAUCACCUAAUCCCUGCGCCCGGAGCACAAACUCAUCCUAAGCAAAGGCAACUGAGCAGCUGUUUUCCUGUUCACCCCACCUCAGGUCCUCACUACUUUCCUACCGAUACCAUUCUAAGUUCCCAACGCAUUUUGUGAAAUAGAGAUACUUCUUCUUGAAUUACAACCAGAAAAUUUGGAGAGGUUGAAGAACUUGCCUACAGUCACCCAGUAAGGAGGUGGAGCCAGGAUUCAAACUCUGGUCUGAUUCUCGGCCCUGGUGGACACUGGCUUUCAGAGCUGUAACUUGCAGUUUUGGUGCCCAGAACCUGCAGCACAAAAGCUCCGCAAAUGACUUUGUGAUUUAUUAUGAAACUCAAAGAAAGAACAAGCUUCCUACUUUAAUUUUCCUUGCUAAUGACAGUUUUCAGCUGAAGAAAUCCAUGUGCUGUCAACAUGUAAAUAUAACCUUUUUUUUUUUCCAAUGUCUGUUCCCGGGACAGAGCCUCCCAGUAGGCCUUGCACUGUGCUGCAUGUGGUCCCUGGAGUUUUACAGCCUCACUACAGACACAAAACAGAGUGGUUAACACAAGCAAUCCUGAAUUGCAUAAAUGUGCUGGAUGCCCAUGCUAGACUAAGAAAGUUCUUCGUAUUCAGGAGAAACACUGUGGCCCUGAGAGGCCAGGGAAGGCCACGUGGAAGAGGAGAGUCCAUGGGUGGGUAGGAUUUAGGACCAGGGGAGAAGAAUUGCAAGCAAGAGCUGGAAAUAUACAGUUGAGGCUGGGAAGAGCUCACACUGAGAAGUGGCAACACAUAAAGUUGGAAAAGUAGGUUGGAGCCAAAUUGCUCAGGAUUUUAAGUGCCAGAAGGAGGAAUUGGAGAAUGGAAGCUGGGAGACCAGGCAGGAAACAGCUGUUCUCCAGGAGAGAGAGAGCAAGGGUCUGUCCCAAAGUGGGAGCACAGGUAGGAAACAAUUGAGAGGCAUUUUGAAGGAUGAAGGCUCCUCUGUCUCCUGUGCCCAGGAGCCCUGCCCUCUGCUAGGCUCUGGGACUAGUAAUGCUGAUUAACUGAUCUGCCAGUGGAUGCAUUGGCCCUCCCUGAUGACCCGGCACCCUUCUUGGAGAAGAGUGGGACUCUGGCCCCCUAUCCCUCCAUGUUCAAUUGCCCACAUCACUCAACUCUUCCUGUCCACCACACUUACCCUCCCAAGUGUAUUUCCUCAUCUGCAAAAACAGCAUGAGAAAGCUCCUCCUUCCUAAGUUUAUUGUGAGGUUGAAUAAGGUCAUGCGUGGAAGAUGCAAAGCACAGGGCCUGGCGCUUGUAACCGCUCAGCAGAUGGGAACCGCCAGCAUAAAUAUUCUGCACCCUUGGUCAGCUGGGACCCAUUAUUGAGAGUGGCUAUUCUCGUCUCUCUCUAUGAAAUGUUAGACACUAGCAGACAGCUGAAGGUGAAAUCAAGCAAGUUUGAACUGUGGUCUCUCUCUGGGGCUCCUUGUCAGGGAGGCAGCCCUUCUCAGCCUCUAAUACUCCCGUGCUCAGAGCCUGUCACAUCUGAG
rnacentral:lncRNA from 1 species